UUCUUAGAGAGUAGAGCUCUUUGGAUUCUCUUUCUCUGCUGGUCUGCCCCGUGAGAUGGUGUAGAACUGUAAACCAGCCAGGCUUUAAUGAAUGAAUUUGGAAACUACCAAAGGAUUCCUAUGGAAAUACAGAUGACAUCUGCAUUAAGGCCAUAAUUAAUUAACCAAUCAAUUAUCAUGAUGAAUGCUAUUUUAAUGAAUCAGUUGAAAAUCACUUCUGGUUCUUAUGGUUUUCAUUCAGAGCACAUUAAUCACGGCAGGCUCUCUGGAAUGCAGGGUGGAAGUCCAAGACCUGAGUACAUCUCUAACAGAGGUGAGCCAGGUUCUCAGCAAUCAGAUCCAGAUGCAGSUAUGGAAAGCUCUCAUGAAGGUCAGAGGAUCUGCAAAUCUGGGRAAAUAGUGCUGGCAUCUUAUGGCCAUGGGCCCAGAGCAUGAAAGAAGCAGAUAUGAAAUGGUCCAGGACUGGGAUGGGUUUUCAGACACUUCCCAAUUUGGACUUGGCUGCUAAUUCCACUUAUACUUGGAAGAAGAGUCAGCUUUGACCUGGCCUGGUGCCCACCCCCAAUAUUCCAGAUGUGACCAUGGAAAGCCCACAGGGAAAGCAACCCUAGGGAAGAAGGCCUUGCUGGAUGGGUGCCUAAAAACAAACAAAAACCAAAGCAAGGUGAAUUUGUGGACUCCCCCCCUGCAAGAUGCUAUGAGGACACGCUGUGGAGUUGGAUGUCUGAAACAGAUCAAGAAGAUUUUCUAAACGUCAGUACACAAGAUGUCACAUUUAGCAGGGAAUUGUCAAAUGCUUGAAAACUGGAAUCACAGGAGCACUAUUUGAUGCUAAGUGGUAUCUGCACCAUAUCUGAAGCUGGAASAUGCCAGGAAAACAUCCUUCACAUUCUGCACUGAUAUUUCCAAGCUUUCAGGACCAAUCAUGGGUUGGCUGGGCAUGAAGGUGUUACCAUGAUGUAAAACCAGGUCGUGGUGAGGUUCCCCUUMACAUCUGGGGAUGUAUUUUGUGACUUGAAAACCCACAGAGCCCAUAUAACUGCAGAAGAACAAGCACAAGCCUUGCUCUCCUACUUCAUACACUGUCAGCCAAACGAGCAAGCCAGCUUUGAGUCCUCCAGGGUCAUUUUAUUUUUAGGGMUGUUGCCUCAAGCAGGAAGAAAACAGCUUGAUCUGUAGGCUCUGCUUUGAGCCUCCAGUGCUGGCAGCAAAAAGCAAGUUCUUUUGACGUGCAGGCUGAGUUGAACCCGUGGAACAAUCUGCAUGGGCCAGGGAGUCGCCGUGUUUUGAGUGCUGCUGUUCCGAGGCACAGCACAUCCCCUUGUCUGUCACAGAGCUGAUUUAUUUUUGAUCUCCUCAGCCUCCAGUUGACGUUCCAGCUGUUUUUCUGUCUCUGUUUAAUAGCUGCUUUCUCAGGUUUUUCAUUUUUCCUUGUUUGUCUGAAAUCCAUCUUGGAGACACUUGUUGCCCCAUUCUCUGAUCUGUUUUGAGYCUCUGCCAGCUGCUGCUUUUGCUGCCAGUGGAUAAAACGACUGAGUCACCACUUUGUGAAUUUUGCCUUUGCUUGUGGGGUGGCAGAGCCAAGGCCAUCAUGAACAUAUCAAGGAACCACAACAAAGGCCCAAAACACAAACAYUGGGACUGAACCUCAAAGCUUGUGCUGGAACCCGAGGAGGUGACAGCCAGCAAGAAUCAUACCGAGGGACCUCAAAGCCUUACCAACCUCAGUCCUGCAGGAACCACAUCAGAGGCAUGCACCUCAUGCAGCUCUGGAUCCAGGGAGAGGGUGUAAGAGAAAGAUAGAAGUGACCAAAGGACUGUUUUAUUGUUUUCCUCUUUUCAUAAUGCAUUUAACACAGAAGAUGU